CGAGAUUUUAGACGACAGUACACAUGCGCGACAUCAUGGAAGGCACUAGGCAUGCGCGAGAACAUGGACAGUAGUACGCAUGCGCGACAUUAUAGACGGCAGUACGCAUGCACGAGCCGCGAGACGGUAGUACGCAUGCGCCACAACAUAGAUAGCAGUACGCAUGCGCGAGUUUCGAGACUGCAGCACGCAUGCGCGAGCUUCGAGACGGCAGCACGCAUGCGCGAGUUUCGAGACGGCAGUACGCAUGCGCGAGCCGCGAGACGGCGGUACGCAUGCACGGCAUCAUAGACAGCAGCACGCAUGCGCGAGCCAUGAAACGGCAGUACGCAUGCGCGACAUCAAGGACGGUAAUACGCAUGCACGACAUUAUAGACGGCAGUACGCAUGCGCCAGCCGCGGGACGGCAGUAUGCCUGCGCGAGCCCGGAGAUGACAGUACGCAUGCGCGAGCCCCGAGACGGCAGUACGCAUGCGCGACAUCAUGGACAGUAGUUCGCAUGCGCGACAUUAUAGACGGCAGUGCGCAUGCGCGAGUUUCGAGACGGCAGUACGCAUGCGCGACAUUAUGGAGCCGCGAGACGGCAGAACGCAUGCGCGAGCCCGCAGACGGCAGCACGCAUGCGCGACAUCAUGGACGGUGGCAGCAGAUACCGUGGAAACAACAACUCCGCCGCCUUUUAGCGGACUGCCUGGGACCGUGGGCGCGCAUCCCCUUCUCUCUUUCUUUUCUUGGCAGAGGAUGGUGGGGGGAAGAAGGGGAGACGACAAAGAAAAGCAAGGAAAACUUCGACAAACCCUCCAACCCCGUGCUAAAUGCUUUGGUAUACCUGUAAAUAAAUGAAUACAUAACCAGCA
rnacentral:lncRNA from 1 species